CGGCCUCGGCGCGCUCGGCUCCGGCUCGGGGGUCCGGCACGGCGGUCUCGGUGCGCGGUCGCCGGGAGCACCCUCCCGCCCCCGGCUCGGCUUGGGGGUGGCCCCGUGCCUCCGCCGCCGAAGCAGCUAGCCGGUUUUUAAAUUGCUAAUCUCAUUAACGGCGCGCCCGUCGGAGAGGCGAGGCUGAAAGGACAAUGUCAUAUGGUUCAACCUAGCCCACUUAUAAGACUGAGAGACGCGAGGAAGACACCUAAGGCAAAGUAAAGGGAGUCUUGCUGCGACGCCCAGGCUGGAGAGCAACGGCAC